GCUGUUGGUUGUCGUUGGUUGAUGUUCUCAUCUGAAGAGAGAGCUGUUGGUUGUCGUUGGUUGAUGUUCUCAUCUGAAGAGAGAGGUGUUGGUUGUUGUUCUCAUCUGAAGAGAGAGCUGUUGGUUGUUGUUCUCAUCUGAAGAGAGAGCUGUUGGUUGUCGUUGGUUGAUGUUCUCAUCUGAAGAGAGAGCUGUUGGUUGUCGUUGGUUGAUGUUCUCAUCUGAAGAGAGAGCUGUUGGUUGUUGUUCUCAUCUGAAGAGAGAGCUGUUGGUUGUUGUUCUCAUCUGAAGAGAGAGGUGUUGGUUGUUGUUGGUUGUUGUUCUCAUCUGAAGAGAGAGCUGUUGGUUGUCGUUGGUUGAUGUUCUCAUCUGAAGAGAGAGGUGUUUGUUGUUGUUCUCAUCUGAAGAGAGAGCUGUUGGUUGUUGUUCUCAUCUGAAGAGAGAGCUGUUGGUUGUUGUUCUCAUCUGAAGAGAGAGCUGUUGGUUGUCGUUGGUUGUUGUUCUCAUCUGAAGAGAGAGGAGUUGGUUGUCGUUGGUUGUUGUUCUCAUCUGAAGAGAGAGGUGUUGGUUGUCGUUGGUUGUUGUUCUCAUCUGAAGAGAGAGGUGUUGGUUGUCGUUGGUUGUUGUUCUCAUCUGAAGAGAGAGCUGUUGGUUGUCGUUGGUUGUUGUUCUCAUCUGAAGAGAG